UUAUGCAUAAGAUUGAUCUUAAUAUCUCUUAAGCAAUUUUAGCAUAUCAACUGAAUUUGAAUCAAGUUAAAAUGAAAUAUUGAUGCUAAAGAUAAUUGAAGGCUAAGUUCUUUUUGACUCUCCCUUUCUUUUCCAGAAGGGCAAUUAUCUUAAAGCCAAUAUUCUUCAAUUUUAUCUUUUCUAAUUCAACUUUGGAGUAUGAAUUUCGUAUUUUGCAUUCCACUGUAUCCAAUAUCCAUAUUGGUUCUACUCCCCCUUUUUGCAUUUCAUAAUUAAGUUAAGUUCUAUUAUAUCUACUCCCCCUUUUUGUCAUCAACAAUGAAGGGGACAAAUUAUCCUUAGGUGCUUAAAAGCAUACUUCCUAGUAAAAUUCAGCAUAUUUCCAUGAACCACUCAAGGAUAUUUAAGUUGUGCUCUCCCUGUCCAAGUUAUUUCUAUUAAUGAAUUUAGUAAUUCAUAUCACUCCCCCUUUGUUUUGGUAUUCAUUUCAGACUCCUCUUUUUGUUAAUCAUAGUUAUCACAAGAUGUGCUCCCCCUGUGUCAUAUGCAUUGAUAAGUUGUGUUAAAUUUUACCACUUAAGGCAUGCUAUGAGAUUUUUAUGGCACAUCACUAGAUCACAUACACAAUCACAGA
rnacentral:lncRNA from 1 species